AUCGUUAGCUCAGUGGGUAGAGCAGUUGACUUUUAAUCAAUGGGUCGUAGGUUCGAGCCGAGCGAAGCGAGACGA
rnacentral:tRNA from 1 species